GGUGCCUCCUCUCAAUGUUGGUGGUCAGGGCUGAUGCAGUCUGAUGGCUCUGCUUUCCUCUACUCAGGGCCAAAGCUGUUUUGCUGAUCUGUCACUGUCUGGAUCCCAUGGAAGCUGCACAGAGCAUUUCCCCUCUGCCUAGAUGACAGGGAGGCUGAGCAGAGCACUGAGUUAGGGGCACUUCCCCACACAGGUCUGUACCUGAACAUCCUUGUUCAUAGUGAGAAGGAGUGGAAGGGGUUUUAGCAUUUGGGGCUAGUAGCGAUUCCUCUAGAACUUCUUUCUAGAUGGAUUUUUUAAGAGGUCUCGAUGCAGAGGACUUUUCUCUGAUUGAAUUUGCAGCUAUCUGGGCAUAGGAAGAUGCUGUGUUGACUUAGGGGAGUGAUUGGUCAGCUGAGGGCUCCAUGAGAUAGCUACAGACUCCCUGGGUCAGCUUUCCUUUCACAAUUUGGUUUUAUAGUGUUUGAUCUGCUUUAAGAACAUUGCUAUUUUCCUCAUCCUUCAAAUUUUAUCUGCCUUUCCAAAUAUUUUUAAAUGGGUGAGCUUAAGAGCUUUCCCAUUCAUUCUCUUUCUUUCUGUGUUGCCCACACCCUACCCCCACUCCCACAGCCUCUUACCCCACUCUGGUUCAGGUUGGAGGUUAGGGAACUCUGUACUUAUUUUCUGCUCUGGCAACCGAUCUUCAAAUCUCU
rnacentral:lncRNA from 1 species